CACACAAGGAGAUUCAGCACUGUUAAGAAGAGAAAUCCAAGUUGACUUGGCAUGAAGCAGGAGGCUGAUUGAGAGCUUUGAAACCUCUUUAAACUUGGACAUUUCAAGAAUCCUGGAAGAGCACUAUUGUGAAAAAAACUAGGAGACCUGCCAGGAAUGAGUGUUUGGUUUCUGCUCUGGAGGUGCUUGAGAAGGGCAAUAGAUCUUAUCUCCAAGUCUUAUUUUCUAAAGAGGUUCCAAGCCAUCGAUACGCAUGAUCUUCAGCAUCCCAGCAGCCAUUUCCUGCUGACCGCUGAGCAGGAAGAGCACAUGACCCUGGCUGGAGCCGCCAAGAGGGUGGAGAUGAUCAGAAAUCCUUUCACUGUCAAAUUCAGAGAAGAAACAUGCUGAGAAGAGGCACUUCCUAUGCCAGGCCUACCUGUGCCGUGAGGAAUACAUGUAGGAGACACUAUUUGAAAAGGUCGCCACCUUGCUGGAACAACCAAUGCAGAGAUAAUGCUGGGCCCUCUAAUCAGUUGAACAGUGGCUUCAAAAAGAUAGGUCAAAGUUAUAAUCUCCUGCAGCUGUGCAUGUGACUUUCUUUGGAAAUAGGAUCUUGCAGGUAUGAUGAAGGUAAGGAUUUUAAGAUGAGAUCAUCAUAAAUUUAGAGUGGGUCCUACACCUGAUGACUCGUGUGCUUCUAAGGGAAGCAAAAGGGAGUUAUAACACAGGGACACCUGGAAGGCCAUGUGAAGGCAAAGGCUAACAUUGGAUUUAUGUUGCCACAAGCCAAGGAAUGACAGGGGUGCUGGCAACUGCAAGAACUGAGAAGACAGGCAUGGAACGAAUUCUUCCUCAGAACCUCCAGAAGGAACUCACCCUGCUGACACUUUGAUUUCAGACUCUGGCCUCCAGAACUGUGAAAGAACAAGUGUCUCUUGUUUUAAGCCACCCAGUUUGUGGUAAUUUGUCACAACAAUCCAAGGAAACUAAUAGAAACCCCACACAUUGGGUAUGAGCAUAGAAGUAAAUUGGAAAUGACUUACAUUGCCUUGA
rnacentral:lncRNA from 1 species